UCCUGGUUAGUUCAGUUGGUAAAGCGCUCCACUGGAAAUGGAGAGGACCCUGGUUCCAUACCAGGACCAGGCG
rnacentral:tRNA from 1 species